AAAAAAUCUCUGCCUGGCCAGCUGAUAAAUGGGAUAAUUCCCUACGUAUUUUUUGAGGAGCUGGGAUCCUUUCUGUUUUAUCUUAUCCUCUGUCAGAAGCCAUGAUGCCAUUGCAAAGAAAUAACUUAGAAUUCUGUAGGUAACCAGAUGUUAAAAAAGAAUUGGGGCAGAUGUCGUGCUUAAGCACUAUGCACUACAGUGCAGUUAGGUACACUUGUUACGGAUUAAGAUAAGGAGGAUAGGCUUUUAGCGGUGAAUAGAAUAAACAAAACAACCCUCCCAGCUUUUUCCUAGUGCUGUUUUACCUGCCCAGCAGCAUCUUACACAUCUCUCCAAGCCUGGUAGGUAUGACACAGGACUUGCAGGAGACAACAACCUUCUAGAGCAGUGGCUGGAGCUCAGACUGGACACCCUGGGGCAGCUCAAGAGUCGUUCUGGUGUUAGGCACUUAGGCAGUGGAAUUCUGCCACAAAGGAUCAGCAUUUAGAUGGUUAGGCCAUUUGGGCUGGCCUUGUAAUAACUAGGUAUAAAGUGGGGUUUGGCUGUUGGUAGUUAGAUUUCUAUCAGGAGGGCUGUUCGAACUGCUGCUCUUAGUGAUCUGGCAGUCCAGCAGGUUGUUUCAGUUAGUGCUAAAUCCUCAAGUGGUGUGGUUGCAUUUUAUGACACUUGCAGGCCUGUCAGUCUGCUUGCAAAUUUUGUCAAGUCUUCCAAAAAGCUAAGAUAGCACUUGAAUUCUACAGAUUUUAUAGUACUGCCCUGUUAAAAGUUUGAGCCAUUUCAGAAAGAGAUGGUAGUGAUAAUGUUGAAAACCAGCACGUUGUUCUCAGAGAAUGCAUGUUGCCUCAUGCAGAACACCAGGUUCCAGCUCCCUUACUCACACUCCAGUUGCUUACUCUGUAAGGCUUUACGCUGGGGUUAAGAAAGUUGUUUAGUCAACACUGAAGCUUAAAAGUCAAUUUUAUCUAAGACCACGGGCCCUAAAGUGCUGUAAUAGUGUGGUUAAUAUGACAUCAUUGCAAGGCUGAGUGAAGGUCAUCUGCGUGUAUCUGCUGCAUUCUGGUGCUAUAAGCUUACAUUAAGAAAGUAACUUAAA